rnacentral:lncRNA from 1 species
ACCUUUAAUGUAAGAAGCCAAGCUUGUUUGUUGCUCCUUGUUAUUAGCUGAAGAAUCCUGUAAAGUCAUCUUCCAUAUGCGUAUGCCUUUGUCUUGAGAUGAACUUACAAGAAGAAGACUAGUUUCACCGUUCACAUACACGGGCAAUGAGAGAUCUAAACUUCUAAUCCAGUCUGUAUGGGCCUUUAACUCGCAAGCACGAAGAAACUACGACAUAAUAAAAACAAUUCACGUAAACAGGCAAUGAGAGAUCUAAACUCCUAAUCCAGUCCGUAUGAGCCUUUAACUCACAAGCGCGAAGAAACUAGGGACCCAAAAAAAAAAAAG